GCCACAGUCUGAGUCCUAGCCAUGACCAAAGCUUUUAUUAAAGAGAAGGCCCUUUUCGCAAUUAUUUUUCUUUUCUUAGUAGUAGGAAAUUUGAUAUAAAAGUUUAUAUUUUGGUAGAGUUGUUUCGCCCAUUAGAUAUCACGCCAUUAUAAAAUAGCCAGAUGGAUCAAAAGCCACACUAAUGACAAAAUGUCCUGGAUGAUAAUAACUGUUAUCUGUGUAUUCAUAAUACUAAUACCAGACUUCUCUAUUAUUUAUUUUUAUUCCAAAGUCCAAACUACCCACAAGAUGCAAUGCAAAU
rnacentral:misc_RNA from 1 species